GUUGUGGAGAUAAAAGUUCGUCUUCAAGGGAGAAGACAGACAUCUCCACCAGCAGGAACACUUAGAUCAACUGAUCCAACAUCAGGAUCACCCGUGCCACCAACAGCAGCUUCAACAUCCAGUCACAGGGGGAAGAGAAGGAAGCAGGUGAGCAAGAGGAAUGCUAUUAUUAAGGGCAAUACACAAGAACUGAAUGGUGCUAUAUUGGAGGCUUUAAAGGCCUUCACCAGCAUGUACAAUACAUUAUCGGCUCAAUCUGUGCGUAUGUAUUUAGAGCAAGCAUUAGAGCUGUUGUCAAAGAGUGCAGCCAUAAUUCCACCUCUGGCUGUGGGCAAUCAAGUUAAAUUAUGGAAACUUUGCCAUCAGUCAUAACUGAUAAUGUAUAAACCGUGAUUUUUUCAAUCUCUCUCUGUUUACUAUUUUUUCUUAGCCACUUAAUGGAGAAUAUGAAAUAUUUUUAUGUUCCAACAUUUAUGUUUUUUUUUAUUCUUUUGUGAAAACAAAUAGAUUCUUUCACCUUAAUUUGUGAUAUAAUGUCAAAUACAAUAAACAGUACUGUGAUACUGUGUAUUGUACACUCAUAUUUAUGGGAGAAAUUUAAAUUGUUCUUUUUUUAUCUCUGUUUACUGGGGGUUUUUUUUUGCACUUAAUGGAGAUGUGAAAUCAUAUUUUGUAUGAUCAAAUAUUUGUUACGAUUUUUUGUUCUUUUACUUCUUGUGAAACCAAAAUAGAUUCAGCAUAUUUUUUGCUAGAAUUUCAUAUACAAUAUACUGUGAUACUGUGUAUUAUA